UGAUUGUAGGUCAUUUCAACAACUGUAU
rnacentral:sRNA from 1 species